rnacentral:rRNA from 1 species
AUUGAACGCUGGCGGCAGGCCUAACACAGGCAAGUCGAGCGGAUGAAGGGAGCUUGCGCCUGGAUGCGGCGGCGGACGGGUGAGUAAUGCCUAGGAAUCGGCCUGGUAGUGGGGGAUAACGUCCGGAAACGGGCGCUAAUACCGCAUACGUCCGGAGGGAGAAAGUGGGGGAGCUUCGGACCUCACGCUAUCAGAUGAGCCUAGGUCGGAUUAGCUGGUGGGUGGGGUAAAGGCCUACCAAGGCGACGAUCCGUAACUGGUCUGAGAGGAUGAUCAGUCACACUGGAACUGAGACACGGUCCAGACUCCUACGGGAGGCAGCAGUGGGGAAUAUUGGACAAUGGGCGAAAGCCUGAUCCAGCCAUGCCGCGUGUGUGAAGAAGGUCUUCGGAUUGUAAAGCACUUUAAGUUGGGAGGAAGGGCAGUAAGUUAAUACCUUGCUGUUUUGACGUUACCAACAGAAUAAGCACCGGCUAACUUCGUG